UAAAAAAUACCAAAUGAUAAAAUAAAAAAUAUUAAAAAUCAUUUUUAGAAACUAGAAAUUAAAAGAAGAAAAAUGCAAUUGGUCUCACAUUUUUUGGACCAAUGAUGAAGGAGAUAUGAAUUUUUUAAAUGAAAUGGAAUUAAAAGAAAUAAAAGAAAAUUGAAAUCAGAAAUAAAAAAGCAAAAAAAACAUGGAGCUUAGAUGAAG
rnacentral:lncRNA from 1 species